rnacentral:rRNA from 1 species
AUACGGAGGAUGCAAGCGUUAUCCGGAUUUAUUGGGCGUAAAGCGUGUGUAGGCGGUUUGUUAAGUUUAAGAUUAAAGCCCGAGGCUUAACCUCGGUUCGUCUUAAAAACUGGCAGACUUGAGUGCAGUAGAGGCAAGUGGAAUUUCUAGUGUAGCGGUUAAAUGCGUAGAUAUUAGAAGGAACACCAGUGGCGAAGGCGGCUUGCUGGGCUGUUACUGACGCUGAGACACGAAAGCGUGGGGAGCAAAUAGGAUUAGAUACCCUAGUAGUCCACGCCGUAAACGAUGAGUACUAAGUGUCGGGUAACCGGUGCUGAAGUUAACACAUUAAGUACUCCGCCUGAGUAGUACGGUCGCAAGGCUGAAACUCAAAUGAAUUGACGGGG